rnacentral:rRNA from 1 species
GUAACGGCGAGUGAAGCGGCAAAAGCUCAAAUUUGAAAUCUGGCACCUUCGGUGUCCGAGUUGUAAUUUGAAGAAGGUAACUUUGGAGUCAGCUCUUGUCUAUGUUCCUUGGAACAGGACGUCACAGAGGGUGAGAAUCCCGUGCGAUGAGAUGUCUGAUUCUAUGUAAAGUGCUUUCGAAGAGUCGAGUUGUUUGGGAAUGCAGCUCUAAGUGGGUGGUAAAUUCCAUCUAAAGCUAAAUAUUGGCGAGAGACCGAUAGCGAACAAGUACAGUGAUGGAAAGAUGAAAAGAACUUUGAAAAGAGAGUGAAAAAGUACGUGAAAUUGUUGAAAGGGAAGGGUUUGAGAUCAGACUUGGUAUUUUGUAUGUCUUGCUUUCGGGUGGGGCCUCUACAGUUUACUGGGCCAGCAUCGGUUUGGACGGUAGGAUAAUGACAUUGGAAUGUGGCACCACUUCGGUGGUGUGUUAUAGACUUUGUUGAUACUGCCUGUCUAGACCGAGGACUGCGUCUUUGACUAGGAUGCUGGCAUAAUGAUCUUAAACCGCCCGUCUUGAAACACGGACCAAGGAGUCUAACGUCUAUGCAAGUGUUUGGGUGUAAAACCCGUACGCGUAAUGAAAGUGAACGUAGGUGAGAGCUCUUUUGAGUGCAUCAUCGACCGAUCCUGAUGUCUUCGGAUGGAUUUGAGUAAGAGCAUAGCUGUUGGGACCCGAAAGAUGGUGAACUAUGCCCGAAUAGGGUGAAGCCAGAGGAAACUCUGGUGGAGGCUCGUAGCGGUUCUGACGUGCAAAUCGAUCGUCGAAUUUGGGUAUA